UUGAAGAAGCAGGCUUGCCAAGUUGUCUCCUUCCUGUCGGCUAGCACAAAAGCAGGGGAACAAGUUGGAGAUCCCAAUGAAGAAGAAGAAGAGUUAAAAGGUGGAAGCUUUAAUCAAGUGACAGCUUCAAAACUGCAAAGCUUGUGGAGUUGGUGCUAUAAAUGACGGUUUCAGAACGGACAUAGAAGAAGGCUUUGUGAAGACUCAGCUUCCUAACCAUGGUAUUGUCUCUGUUUCUUUCUUUUGAGACAGAACAAAGGAUGAAAAAAAAAAAUAUUUGUGUUGGAUUGAGUUGCUGGUUAGCUUAGAUUUUUGGGUUCAGAUAGGUUUGGAACAGAAGCUAUAAUGAAAUAGGCUGGUUUGGGUUUGUUGCGUGUGGAAUCUCUGGCUUUAAUUCUACUGCACACAAGGUGCUCGCGGAAAUGCCAACGAGAAAGUCAGAUUGUUUGGAGACAGUUUUGGUGGUAUAUUAAUAGGAAUCAGAGAGUUAGUAGGAUGGUUUAGUAAGUGUGGAAAGAGAGUUUUGAUUCUUCAUUAGACAUAGUAAGAAAUAGGUAAAGAAAGCCUAGAUUCAUAGUGAGGCAAAAAGGUCACAAUUGUACCUCUGAGUGAGAUCAACUAAGCUCUCCAAGUUCAAGAGAAACCUCUGAGUGAAGCCAUGUGAUACUCUCCAAGUAUAGGCCUGAAUAGAUCUCACACUUAGUUUCUUUUCCAUGAAGAAGAAGAACCAUUUGCCUGCAUCAAAAGCCUCCUACUUCAACUACUCAUGCUCUCACAGCUCAUACUCGUUUACAGUUCAAACUCAGCUUCUUGGUUUCCACCCGAAGCUAUGUUUGCGGGGGAGUAUUAAGCCACACAGCAAGCCCACAUCAAGCCCAAGACUAUGUUAUUGGAGAAGUCCAUGUAACUAGGGUUCUAGCAUUUAGAUUUAUAUAAAUAGUAGUUUAAGGUUUUGUAAAACUCAACUUUGGCUGCGCUUUCUAGCAGCCUCUCUUCUCAUCUUUAUUAAGCAUCAAUAUAACUCUUGAAUCUCUUGCAGACAACCCAAAGUCUUUCCCCUUCUGUUCUUUGUAUUUCAAUAAAGCUCAUUGAGCUAUCUUAGUUUAUGUUUCAAUAAAACACAACUCUAUCUAGUUCUCAAAUGUUAUCAGAAGUUCCUGAUUUGAAGCAGUGGUUGUUGGCGAAAGGUUGAGUUCAAGGAUUACAAAUCACAGAGAAUAUAGUGUUGAGGAUGAGGAAGGAAUUAGCUUUGGCGUCUGACUGAUUGGAGUCACCGGAGGUGAAGGUUGGAGUUACCGGAGGUGAAGAUCGGUGGAGCCAACGAAACUGAAGUGUCAAGUUGCAUGUUUCUCAAUCGACACGUGUUUCCAUUAUUCUCUGUGGAGUUUCCACAUUUUGCUUAUGUAAUAUUUUAAUAAGUGGUGUACUCUUCUGUAUCCUUGUUUCGUGGGAAUAAAAUAUGGUUGACAAAAAAA
rnacentral:lncRNA from 1 species